rnacentral:ncRNA from 2 species
AUAGAUGAUAGAGGUGCGAUUUGUUAUUAUGGUAUGUAUAGAAGGCAUUCGUUUGACACUUACCAGAGGAAUGAUCGCCGAAUAGAACUGUUGGCAGACAGAUUCUAUGGGCUUUAGGAGAAUAUCUUAAGGACUGUCUACGCAAGUAGUUGUGCUAUCUUAAUG